rnacentral:pre_miRNA from 1 species
AAAGUACUCCCUCCGUCCCAAAAUUCUUGUCUUAGAUUUGUCUAGAUAUGGAUGUAUCAAGUCACAUUUUAGUAUUAGAUACAUCCGUAUCUAGAAAAAUCUAAGACAAGAAAUUUGGGACAGAGGGAGUAGUUG